rnacentral:rRNA from 1 species
UACAGAGGUCUCAAGCGUUGUUCGGAUUUACUGGGCGUAAAGGGUGUGUAGGCUGUGAGGUAAGUUGUUUGCGAAAGCUUCGGGCUCAACCCGGAAAGUGCUGAUAAUACUGCCUCACUAGAGCUCUCAAGAGGGGGUUGGAAUUCACGGAGUAGCAGUGAAAUGCGUAGAGAUCGUGAGGAACACCAAGGGCGAAGGCAGGCCCCUGGGGAGAUGCUGACGCUGAGACACGAAGGCCAAGGUAGCAAACGGG